UACGGGGGGGGCAAGCGUUGUUCGGAAUUACUGGGCGUAAAGGGCGCGUAGGCGGUCAGCACAAGUCAGUUGUGAAAUCUCCGGGCUUAACUCGGAACGGUCAACUGAUACUGUGCGACUAGAGUGCAGAAGGGGCAACUGGAAUUCUCGGUGUAGCGGUGAAAUGCGUAGAUAUCGAGAGGAACACCUGCGGCGAAGGCGGGUUGCUGGGCUGACACUGACGCUGAGGCGCGAAAGCCAGGGGAGCGAACGGG
rnacentral:rRNA from 1 species